GUUAACAAACAUAAAAUAGCAGUACUUGGGAGUUAUAGAACGCAGUAUCCUUUGUUGUCAAUGCUGACGUUUUUGGUGGCUUCUCACCACUCUCUUCGGGCUACAAUCUUUUAAAUUAAUUCUAACAACUUAAAAGGAACAUCGAAUAGUGGGUGAAUGUUCCGUUGUUGCUGUGGAAGUAACAUCAUUUUAAAAUGGCAGGUCCUCUAGCCGAGACUGUACUUAAGGAAGUCGAUAAACUGGUUCUUAUUACACUGUCUAAACUUAAAAUUUUCAUCAUGUAUGUCAGUGACAUCAUCGCAAUAUGGGAGGACCAAACUGCUGAGAAUGAACUCCGUGAAGCCCUGACACUACCAGCCUAUGGCCUCAAGCUAAAGAGAGAUCUAAAUCAACAAACAAGAAGUGCAUUUCCUUGACAUACACAUAAGGUGUGUAUAAAACAAAAUAGUAACUAUAGUAUAUAGGAAAUCCUCGUAUGUUCCUGUAAUAAUACCCAGAUGAUCCGACAACCCUAUAGCAUAUAAACAAGCUGCAUUUAGAUCAUUUUUCAAAAGGGUUGAGAUAUACACAAUAGAUCAAAAGGACUUAAAACAUGAGAUUGAAUACAUCUAUAAUAUAGAGUACAAACAUGGGUACAAAAAGAAGUUACUAAACUGCAUCCAUGAAUCUGUAAAAAGAAAACUAUUCAGGCAACACACGGAAGAAAGCGUAGCAGCAGCAAAGUCAGGCUAUAUACCAGUGCCGUAGCCUUUCAACAAGUUAUCCUUUACUAAGAAAGUAGCCAAGAUGUCUGACAAAGGAAUAACUGUUAGCAGGACCUCGACAGUCUUCAAUAGACUUAGAAAUGAAAAAAGAUCCAAAAGAAGAGCAUGAAAAAACAGGAGUCUAUAGGAUACCAGUCACCAACUAAGAAACAAAUGAACAAGCUGCCUACAUCAGAGUGAUCAAUAGGACCCUAGCCCAGUGCCUAAGGGAACACAAAAACAAUAUAGCGAAAGCUAAAUUAACAACAGCUCUAGUGGUGAGUGCCUACAACACUGAUCUUACUAUACACUGGACCAAGCCAGAAUCAUAAAACCAGUAAACACUAAUAACCAAUAAAUCCAACACUAAAUGCAGUUGUGGUUACACU
rnacentral:lncRNA from 1 species